rnacentral:lncRNA from 1 species
AUGCUCCUCUGUCCAUUAGAUUUCCUAGGCAAGGAUACAGUGGAAGUGAGAAAUAGAUUUAAGGGUCUAGAUCUGAUAGAUAGAGUGCCUGAUGAGCUAUGGAAUGAGGUUCGUGACAUUGUACAGGAGACAGGGAUCAAGACCAUCCCCAUGGAAAAGAAAUGCAAAAAAGCAAAAUGGCUGUCUGGAGAGGCCUUACAAAUAGCUGUGAAAAGAAGAGAGGUGAAAAGCAAAGGAGAAAAGGAAAGAUAUAAGCAUCUGAAUGCAGAGUUCCAAAGAAUAGCAAAAAGAGAUAAGAAAGCCUUCUUCAGAGAUCAAUGCAUAGAAAUAGAGGAAAACAACAGAAUGGGAAAGACUAGAGAUCUCUUCAAGAAAAUUAGAGAUACCAAGGGAACAUAUCAUGCAAAGAUGGGCUUGAUAAAGGACAGAAAUGGUCUGGACCUAACAGAAGCAGAAGAUAUUAAGAAGAGGUGGCAAGAAUACACAGAAGAACUGUACAAAAAAGAUCUUCAUGACCCAGAUAAUCACGAUGGUGUGAUCGCUUGUCUAGAGCCAGACAUCCUGGAAUGUGAAGUCAAGUGGGCCCUAGAAAGCAUCACUAUGAACAAAGCUAGUGGAGGUGAUGGCAUUCCAGUUGAGCUGUUUCAGAUCCUGAAAGAUGAUGCUGUGAAAGUGCUGCACUCAAUAUGCCAGCAAAUUUGGAAAACUCAGCAGUGGCCACAGGACUGGAAAAAGUCAGUUUUCAUUCCAAUCCCAAAGAAAGGCAAUGCAAAAGAAUGCUCAAACUACUGCACAGUUGCACUCAUCUCACAUGCUAGUAAAGUAAUGCUCAAAAUUCUCCAAGCCAGGCUUCAACAAUAUGUGAACCGUGAACUUACAGAUGUUCAAGCUGGUUUUAGAAAAGGCAGAGGAACCAGAGAUCAAAUUGCCAACAUCCUCUGGAUCAUGGAAACAGCAAGAGAGUUCCAGAAAAACAUCUAUUUCUGCUUUAUUGACUAUGCCAAAGCCUUUGACUGUGUCGAUCACAAUAAACUGUGGAAAAUUCUGAAAGAAUUGGGAAUACCAGACCACCUGACCUGCCUCUUGAGAAAUCUGUAUGCAGGUCAGGAAGCAACAGUUAGAACUGGACAUGGAACAACAGACUGGUUCCAAAUAGGAAAAGGCUGUAUAUUGUCACCCUGCUUAUUUAACUUCUAUGCAGAGUACAUCAGGAGAAACGCUGAACUGGAAGAAACACAAGCUGGAAUCAAGACUGCCGGGAGAAAUAUUAAUAACCUCAGAUAUGCAGAUGACACCAUCUUUAUGGCAGAAAGUGAAGAGGAGCUAAAAAGCCUCUUGAUGAAAGUGAAAGAGGAGAGUGAAAAAGUUGGCUUCAGGCUCAACAUUCAGAAAACGAAGAUCAUGGCAUUCAGUCCCAUCACUUCAUGGGAAAUAGAUGGGGAAACAGUAGAAACAGUGUCAGACUUUAUUUUGGGGGGCUCCAAAAUCACUGCAGAUGGUGACUGCAGCCAUGAAAUUAAAAGACGCUUACUCCUUGCAAGAAAAGUUACGACCAACCUAGAUAAUAUAUUCAAAAGCGGAGACGUUACUUUGCCAACUAAGUUCCAUCUAGUCAAGGCUGUGGUUUUUCCUGUGGUCAUGUAUGGAUGUGAGAGUUGGACGGUGAAGAAGGCUGAGCGCCGAAGAAUUGAUGCUUUUGAACUGUGGUGUUGGAGAAGACUCUUGAGGGUCCCUUGGACUGCAAGGAGAUCCAACCAGUCCAUUCUGAAGGAGAUCAACCCUGGGAUUUCUUUGGAAGGAAUGAUGCUAAAGCUGAAACUCCAGUACUUUGGCCACCUCAUGCGAAGAGUUGACUCAUUGGAAAAGACUCUGAUGCUGGGAGAGAUUGGGGGCAGGAGGAGAAGGGGACGACAGAAGAUGAGAUGGCUGGAUGGCAUCACUGACUCAAUGGACAUGAGUCUGAGUGAACUCCAGGAGAUGGUGAUGGACAGGGAGGCCUGGCGUGCUGCUAUUCAUGGGGUCGCAGAGAGUCAGACACGGCUGAGCGACUAA